rnacentral:rRNA from 1 species
UACAGAGGUCCCAAGCGUUGUUCGGAUUCAUUGGGCGGAAAGGGUGCGUAGGCGGCGCGGUAAGUCGGGUGUGAAAUCUCGGAGCUUAACUCCGAAACUGCAUUCGAUACUGCCGUGCUUGAGGACUGGAGAGGAGACUGGAAUUUACGGUGUAGCGGUGAAAUGCGUAGAUAUCGUAAGGAAGACCAGUGGCGAAGGCGGGUCUCUGGACAGUUCCUGACGCUGAGGCACGCAGGCCAGGGGAGCAAACGGG